rnacentral:misc_RNA from 1 species
UUUCCGUAGGUGAACCUGCGGAAGGAUCAUUCCUGUUCUUUGGGGGGAGGAUGGGGUUAGUUUUUGGGGGUAAAACCUCGAUUUCUUCCUGACCUUCUCUCAUAUUGCGAUAACGUGGGAUACUUAUUAGAAGUAACCUUUUUUUACUAUUAUCAUUGAUUUAAACCAAUUUAAACACCACAAGUGCUUGCGGUGGAUCUCUUGGUUCGUACAUCGAUGAAGAACGCAGC